UCUAACUUUUAUAUUUUAUUUUUAUGUCAAUAUUUUUAAACCAUAAAGUAAAAUUCUAGUACUGUAGUUUUUUGAAAGAUUUUUAUUUUUUUGUCAGUCAUGGUAGAGCAUGCCUUUAGUCCCAGCACUUAGGAGACAGAGACAGGUGGGUCUCUGUGAGUUCCAGGCCAUCCUGGCCAGCCAGGGUUGCAUAGUAAGACCCUAUCUCAAAAAGAAAGAAAAGAAGAAAGAAUUUUGUAUGUGUAUAUGUGUUUUGAGUGUGGGUAUGUACACACAAGUGCAAUACCCAAUAAGAGGCUAACUUAUUUAUAGUUCCGUGUUAAAAUACUAUCAUAGUAUCUUUUAAGUAGUUCAGAAGUCUGUAAUAUUGACCACAUAAUAGCAAUUGUAAAACUUUGUGCAAGUUUAAUUACAGUUUGAACCUGUGUUGGAUGUUUGUACUCAGGUGCAGCAGACACUGAAUAUCCUUCAGCAACUGGCAGUAGCCAUGGGUGCAAACAUCAGGCAGCAUGUAAAGAACCUGGGCAUCCCUGUCAUUACUGUUCUCGGAGAUAGCAAGGUAAAGAAGCCUCUUUCCAACAUAGUCCAUUCUACACUAAGGCAGCCGCAUUCUUGGGGUAACUAACUCUGUUUUAGAGUUCACAUAAUUGCUUAAAAUAUUAUAAAGAUAGAUACUGUUACCUUCCUGGCAGAAUUGAUAUGAUGACUAGAUGUACCAUUAUUUAGUUUGUGAUCCUUAAAUAGUUACAUACUCUAGGUUUAGUAUCUUUAUGAAAUUUCUUUCUUAAAGAAUUGAAACAUAUUUUAAAAAAAGAUUUAUUUAGCUGGGCGUGGUGGCACACGCCUUUAAUCCCAGCACCUGGGAGGCAGAAGCAGGCGGAUUUCUGAGUUCGAGGCCAGCCUGGUUUACAAAGUGAGUUCCAGGACAGCCAGGGCUACACAGAGAAACCCUGUUUCGAAAAACCAAAACAAACAAACAAAGAGAUUUAUUUAUUUUAUGUAUAUGAGCACACUGUAGCUGUCUUCAAACACACAGGAAGAGGGUAUUGGAUCCCAUUACAGAUGGUUGUGAACUACCAUGUGGUUGCUGGGAAUUGAACUCAGGACCUCUGGAAGAACAGUCAGUGCUCUUAACUGCUGAACCAUCUCUCCAGCCCGAAAUACUUUUUAAUAAUCAACAUAUUGAUUAUUUAGUUGAAACAAUCAUUUUUAUUAAGAUACAUCUUAAUGUACCUGUUUCAUAUAAUAUACAUUCAAUAAAUGAUUGCUAUUUAGGAUUAUAAUGUCAUUAAGGUUUUGUUUUUAGUAUUUCUUUGGUUGGUUUGGUUUGGUUUGAGAAGAGGUUUCUUAUUUAAAGUUGCCUGUCCUGGAAAUCUGUGUGUAGACCACACUUAGCUCAAGAGAUUCACCUGCUUCUCUCUCCCAGGCACUGGCAUUAAAGGCGUGUGCCACCACAACUGGCUUAAAGUUUUGACAUAAUGAAUAAAUACAUCAUUAAAUAUAAAGUUUAGAUCUUGAAAUAAUAUUCUACAUCGUCCCACCCUGAACUACUACAACAUGCUUUUCUAGUACUUCAGUUAGGUGCUAAUAAUUGGAUCAUCUCAGAAGUCAUUGAAGUAUCAUUGAAGGCUGCAACUUUUUAUUUAAAUAUUUGCCAUAGGGUAAAUAUUUUAAUGUUUCUUUACUUUUGUGUUAUUGAGUUAUUGACUUAAUUUGAAAAAUUGAGUCUUUUCAUAAAUCUUUAUACUCUGUGAAUGGAAGUCAAUAUUUAAACAUAUUCAAGUUGUUUGCUUAAUUCUUAACAAUUUGAGCCUCUAACAUAGAAUUUCAUUCUUUAGCUUAUAACAUCAUAAAAGUUCCCAUGGAUUCAUAAAGCAAAAUCUAUUUAUUAUCCUUAUACUAUUUACCUAGAUUAUUAUUUUACCUAAUUGAGUAUAAGAUUUUUUUUUCUAAUUUAGUGUUUUAUAUUUCCACCUUCUUUUGAAGUCUUUAGAAGAACCAUAGCACCAGUUUCUGUUUCAGAGAAGAUGGUUUAAUUAUGUCCAUGGGGCCUUAACAAGGGAAGCCUCUGUUCACACUCACCCUCCCUCCAACUGUACUUGUUAUUUUUGCCAAUUCUCUUCUCAAUUCAGAACAAUGUUCGAGCUGCUGCCCUAGCAACUGUGAAUGCUUGGGCAGAACAAACUGGCAUGAAAGAAUGGCUGGAGGGAGAAGAUCUUUCUGAAGAACUUAAAAAGGAAAAUCCCUUCCUGAGGCAAGAGGUUAGUACCAUAAAGAAUCAUAUGUUUUACUGAUACCUUUUACUUCCUUAGAUGGCCUCUAUAAUAACUAUGUAUGCAUGGGAAGGGGGGAGUAGUUGAGAUAGCGCCUCUCUAUAUAAUUUAGCCCUGGCUGUCCUGGUACUCACUGUGUAGACCAGGCUGACCUCGAACCUUAAGAGUUUUGUCUACCUCUGCUCUGCUGAGAUUAAAGGUGUGUUCUACCAUGCCCAGCUUAACAAAUUUGGUGGGUUACAUCUAUAAUCCUGUUUCUUUGAAGGCUAAGGCAAGGAGGAUCAGCAAAGGUUUGAAGCCAGCUUGUUUUACAUAAUGAAUUGCAGACUAGCAUGAAAACAGUUUCCC
rnacentral:lncRNA from 1 species